GUGGGGAAUAUUGGACAAUGGGGGGAACCCUGAUCCAGCCAUGCCGCGUGUGUGAAGAAGGCCCUUUGGUUGUAAAGCACUUUAAGCGAGGAGGAGGCUACCGAGAUUAAUACUCUUGGAUAGUGGACGUUACUCGCAGAAUAAGCACCGGCUAACUCUGUGCCAGCAGCCGCGGUAAUACAGAGGGUGCAAGCGUUAAUCGGAUUUACUGGGCGUAAAGCGCGCGUAGGUGGCCAAUUAAGUCAAAUGUGAAAUCCCCGAGCUUAACUUGGGAAUUGCAUUCGAUACUGGUUGGCUAGAGUAUGGGAGAGGAUGGUAGAAUUCCAGGUGUAGCGGUGAAAUGCGUAGAGAUCUGGAGGAAUACCGAUGGCGAAGGCAGCCAUCUGGCCUAAUACUGACACUGAGGUGCGAAAGCAUGGGGAGCAAACAGGAUUAGAAACCCGUGUAGUCC
rnacentral:rRNA from 1 species